rnacentral:lncRNA from 10 species
AUCUUAGGAAGCACAGGCCACCACAGACAAGAUGAGACCAUCAGUUGCAGUCUAGACACACCUACCAUCCUUCAGUCUCUGAAAGGAAGCAAGGCUAGUUCCUCCCCUAGGACCACUCUUCUCCUUCAUGCUUCAGCUCUGGAGGCCCUCACUGACACCCUCCCAUCUAAAUUAGGGGCACCUGCUGUACACUUUCAUAGUACCUCAUACUUUUCCUUUAUAGCAUUGAUUACAGUUUUUCCCCCUCUAUUUAUGUGGUUAUUUGUUUAAUGUCCACCUCUCUUACUAGACUAAGAAUCUUAAAAACAGUGCUUGGUGCAAAGCAGGUACUCAGUCAGGAUGUAUUUGAUGAGUGAAGUAGUAAGCAAAAUUAUACUUGAAUCAAUUUGUUCAUCCAUUCAUUGAAGUGCCUAAAAUGCACCAGGCACUGUGCUAGGGGGAUACAUAGAAUAGAGAGCUGUCUAAGGGGAGAGACAGACAAUAAACAUGCAAACAACAAUAAGACAAAUCCUGAAAUGCAGGAAAAAAGAUGAAACAAACCAGUGAAUGCAAUGAUUAUUGUGUCAUCUAAUACUUGAAGAUUUUAACAAAGCAAGUGUUUCUUCUGUGGCGAUCCCUGGUGGCCUCCAGACCUUCCAUUCAUGUGGCUUCUGACUCAGCUCAGCCCUGGUGUUGUUUCUGGGGAGGGUCCAUGUUCUUGGAGUGCUGCAGUAUUCAUUGCUUUGUCAUCAGUCAGAUGGGCUGGGAAUCUGGAUUCUGCGACUGACUAGCUGUGUGACCUCUAGCAUGUAACUUAAUCUCUUUGGGGCUUACCUUUUCCAUCUGGAAAACAGAAAGAAUAAAACUCUCAGAGUUGGUAUGAGGAUUAAAGAUAACACGUGGGCAUCAUUUAGGCUGACAUCCGCUAAAAGUGUGAGAAAACAGAAAACCCAACUCAGUCUGACUUAACAAUAUGGACACUUGACUUCCAUAAUAAGAAGUCCAGAAGUAGGUAGGACCCAGGGAACACAACUGUUUUAUUUUUCUUCCUCUUCUUUUUUCUCUUUAGGCUAGUCAAGUGAAGCAAUGGGAGUGGAGAUGGAACAAAGAAAUCUGCAAUUGGUUGUGAUCAAUUAGUUGUAAACACUACUGCACUUGGACCAACCUCUUCCUUUUCCUGACUGCUUAGGAAGGAUGGAAUGUAUUUCCUUCCUUCUGGGAGUGUUUGAAUGAAGAUUAGACUCUCCUUGACCAUGAAUGAAGAGCAACCAGUUUUUUAGUAUACAGUGAUUUAGACUCUGGGUCUAGAGUGUAGAUAUCAUGGGCACUGUGAAAGCACAGAAGGAGAAAAGGUUUUUAUUUUGGUGGGGCUUUGUGUCUGAAUUCUGGCCAAUGGAACCACGUGGAGGCCUGGCCCAGAACAUCUCCCUGUGGAUUCUCUCAUCUGGCAACUGGAUGCCUACACGAAGGGUGAUUUUGGAGUCAUGUGUUGGAGAUCACAAAGCUUUUGUCAGCCAGGUUCCUGAAUGACUGCUAGACACCAUGGGCUGAACUUUAUGAGCUCCAGCACCACCUCCAGCCUUCAGUGACUGUCUGGAGCAGGCAUCCGGAUGGAAGAGAAGGGGGACAACCAUGAACUUGGUGACCCACGGUCAGCCUGAUUUCCCUUGUGGACACAUUUAUGCCCAGUGUGCAUUCCUCCUGAGGUCUGUUCCAAGUCUGGAGGCAGCAGAGUAGAGUGGAGAGAACAGUGGACUUGGAAUCUCACCUCCCAGAUUAGAGUCCUGGAUCUGACUUUGAUUGCUGGUGCUGCCUCGGGCAAGUUACUUUAGCUGUGUGCAUCUCCAUUUCCCCAUGGAUAGAACAUGGGUUUUGGGUAGAAGUGUCUGAUAGCUGUACUGUGCUUUACGGUUCAUGAGCACGCACACAUAGGCCCAUAAUAUCAUAUCUCUGGUCACCCUGGCAGGUAGAUAUUAUUGCCCCAGGUUUCAGGUAAGAAGACUAAAGACCAGGGGUCAAUUGCUUGCUCAGAGUCCCACAGCCAGCAGCAGCCAGGCAGGACACCAAGUCAGAGUCUAGAUUCCGGAUCUUGCCCUCUUCCAAGUGUACCACAUUCUUCUCAAAGUGGCCUCUCAGGUCUUUUGUCCAGAAAAUUUUGAGACUUUGAUGAGAAGCCCAUAUCUGCACACUGGGGAUUAGGCCAGAUAACCCUGUGUGUCCUUCCAGGCCUGGUAUUGUGAGGCUGAAGCCUAGUGCCCCACACUCCCUUCCUCACCCCUUAGAGAAAGAUAGAGACUCCAGGGCCAGCCUGGUGGGUGCUGAACCUGCCCUGCUGAGCCAAGCCCAGGAGGCAGCCAAGGUCCUACCAGUGACCUUACCCUGGGGGCCCCUCCAGGUAGGAGCCUGGUUGGAAAAGACAGACCGACUUCUUCUGGGUUGGCUGGAAAAAGAUGACAUACUCAAAGCCUUGUCCUUCCACUUGGAUGCACCUGGUGAAGAUGCGACAGUCACCUUUGUCUGGGGAGAGAUAGGCAGUGUUGCAGCCGGAGAAGGGAGGGUAUGGUCAGGAUGCAGCACCAUUUGGUUGAGUCUUGCCUCUGGUACAAGAUUAAGGAGAGAAAACCAGAGGACACCAGGUCCACCCCCAGGGAGCCUUCCCUCUGGGAGCAGAGGCACAGUUGCUGUCCUCACAGAGCCUUUCUGUCUAGGGCAGAAACAUGCAGGAAGUGCCCUGGCUGAGAAUGGAGAUAGGAUCAGGGCCAGGGCAAGACUUUAAGAGACCAUAAGCAUUGAAAAUUGAAAAUGUAAUUACUCAUGUAACUCACAUAUAAUUCAAAAGAAUAAUAGUAAACAGUAAAAUAAGAGCAGAAAAGUCCAUCAAAGUUCUGAUUUUUUUUUUCCAAGACAGCUACCACUACUACAUCCUUUUUUGGAAGUAUCAAAUUCUUUGAAAAAAAAUUAUGUUGGUAUUCCUGCUUUGUUUGUGCCAUAAACCCAAGGGUAGUCUGUCCCCUGUACCACUCCUUCAUCACUAGGCAGGAAGACAACAUAUAUGAGUGAGAGAGACAGGGAGAUACACAUGCGUGCACACACGAGUGCACACACACACACAAGAAGGUGGAAGCUCUAUCAUUAGGAUCCAUUAGGAUCAUUAGGUGUUUCAGGAGUGCUGCUCCAGACCCCGCACAGCAGGGAUGAUGUGCAGGGCCUCAGUGGAAGGGGUGUGGGGUCCAAGGGCUUUCAUGGGGUUGGGGCGGAAGGCUUGGGAUGAGGCUUGAUAGUUAGGGAGGGGCAGUCAGUGAGAAGUCGGGGCAGGAGCUGGGCUGGCUGUCCUCCAGUGGGGACAUGCUUGGCUGGGAGCGAAGGUGGGCCCACCAGGGUGUGCUGCUUCAGAUGGGAGGAGGGGAGCUGGAGACCUGAGAGGACACCCGCCGCCUGUUGCCUGGGGCUGCAGCAUCAGGGGUGGAGUUGGACAGCAGGAAGAACUCGCUGAGAACUGGAAGGCGGUCUGUGAAGUUGCUUCUCAGUCUUAGAACACAGGGAAGGGCGGCUGGGGUGUGUGUACUCAUGGUCCUGUCCUUACCUGAGGAAACUGCCAGUCCAGAUGGGAGCUUGAGUCCCCGGAUGUGGUCUCUGUUGGACUUGAAGGAGGGCAGCUUGAUCCAGCCGCUAGACUUAGUCUUCUCCAGAAAUUCUUGGUACAGGCUCAGCAUGUCCGAACACCAGCUGGCAUUGGGAAGAGCAUAAUCCUUCAAGUCUGUCUUCUCUGGCAAGAAUCUUGAGAACUGGGCAGGAAAAAUCAGAAUGACUAGACAGCAUCCUGGAGGGGGGCUGCUGCCUGGGCUCGGGACCUCUAAACAGCUGUUCCUGGGUGCUGGGGCUUCUCAAUCCCUUCUGCCAGAGUAUCGAUCCAAGGGAAAGGGCCCAUAUUCCUUGCAGGGGGGCUGCGGACCCCUAUGGGUGACGGGGCAUAAGGAUGCUAAAGAGCAAGGGAAGGGCGGGCAGGGAGUGGGGCCAGAGAUGAUGGGCAUGCUGCUCGAUGUGGUGCCUUACCCUUGUUCUGCUUAAAACAUGUGAGCAGUUCUUUAAAGUUGACAACUGCUCAUAUUAGCCUCACUGUACAGAUGGGGAAACUGAGGGAAUACGGCCAAGGUUGCCAAGCAUGUGACUGUGAGAGCUGGUGGUCGCACUAGAUGCUGUCUCCUCUGCAGGGCAGGGUCACAGUUGUUGAGGACCAUUCUAGCAACCCCCACCUCAGGGGCUACUCCAGCUCUGCCCACUGCUGUGGGCCUGCCUGGGCAGGGUGGCUCCUUUGAAACACAUUUGGGCCCCCACAGAGGUGUGGUGCCAUGGCUGGGGCACAGACUAUGUGCCCAUCUGUGUGACGUAAGGAAGUCCUCUGUAGCGUCACCUGCUCAUACACCAGUCACAACUGUAGACAGCAUGUGAGCUGCUUGCCAAUGCCACAGAUGGGGUCCUCUGUCUGGGGAUACCCCAGCUUUGCUGCAGUAGUCUGAGUCCCACAGGAGGAAAGUCAUUUGUUGGUGGCCACACAAGACACAGAGCCAGAUGCAGGUCUCCUGGUAGUUUUAGUUUUGAAUGGGGGCAACUUGGUAUCCCAGAGCACUUUCUCUUUGCCAAAUCAAAUAGCUCCUCCGAACACUGCCCACCUGCCCUGGCCAUGGGCUGGGAAGAGGAGAUUUGGGGUGCUCCUUAAGCCCUAGGCUCCUGGGAAAACACUGCCCAUCUGGCUGAGCUGGGAACUCACCAUGGAGUCUGUGGAGGAUCCAAAUGCUGAGGCAGGGUUGAGUCUGGGCAGGAUACGGGGGGCCUCAAGAAGGCCUCUGUGGUGGCCAAGUCUUGCUGCCACCUGGAAGCAUCUCCUUAUCAUGGCCAAGUGCAAGGAUCCAGCCCUGCUUGGAUGGAGGGUCUUGGCUGACUCCCAAGGAGUGCUUUCAGCUGCACUUGGGGCCGCUUCUCUCCCUUCUGUUGCAGGCUUUCUUUCAGAGAGCUAGGCGAGGCUGGGCUGGUGUGCUGCAACACCCACAGAUGCUCGGCGCCUUUAGCUGGUCUAGGAGCCCCACCCAGUGCUUGGGGAGGGACAGAUGCUGCUUGGGCAUGAAAAGGCAGCAGGACUGGCUUGAGUUGCAAAAGGAGUAAACAAGUACAUAAACAAAUAGUAUGGGGUAUAUAGAGCCUUGGAGAGCUGCCUGGGGGUUCUGAGGGAGAAUCCAAGAAUAUUUCCAGAAGGAUAAGGGAAGCCUGUCCCUUGAUUGGAGGGUGCUGGUGGAGUGUUCUUGGUAUGUGCUCUGCAGUGUAUACCGGACUCUGAAAACUCUGGUAUGAUUUUGUGACUCAGAAAACCAACUCACAGCCUUAGACACCUCUUUUUUUUUUUUUUUUUUUUUUUUGGUGAGACGGAGUUUCAAUCUUGUCGCCCAGGCUGGUGUGCAAUGGCGUGAUCUCGGCUCACUGCAACCUCCGCCUCCUGGGUUCAAGUGAUUCUCCUGCCUCAGCCUCCUGAGUAGCUGGGAUUACAGACACACACCACCACACCCAGCUAAAUUUUGUAUAUUUUUUUUAGUAGAGAUGGGGUUUUGCCAUGUUAGCCAGGCUGGUCUUGAACUCCUGACCUCAGGUGACCUCCCAAAGUGCUGGGAUUACAGGCGUGAGCCACCGCACCCGGCCAACACCUCUUCUUAUAUCCCGGACAAGGGUUAGCACAGGAGAGUUUCACCUGCUGGUCUCUGGCUGGGGAUAGGAGUUGGAGGUGGGGGAGGGCUUGACAGGGAGGGCAGAAAAUAAUUUGGGAGGAAACAGCUUGGCAGGGAUACUCUCAUUUUUAAAUUGACUAAAAUAAAAGCAUGUUCUAAAGAUCAGUCCUCGCGCAGUGGCUCAAGGCUGUAAUCUCAGCAUUUUGGGAGGCCGAGUGAGACCUUGUCUUAAAAAAAAAAAAAUCAGAACUGUGCAAAGGUGGAAUCAUAACAGUGAUGAUGACGAUAAUAAUAGUUGUGAUGAUUAUGACAUUUUGGCAGGUUCCAAAAGAUGAAACUGAUUUAAUGCGGAAAUUUAAAAGAUUUGGUUCACCCUCUGUAUUUGGUUGCCCUAGAAGAAGACUAGAAUAUAAAUAUUUCCCCUCACCUCCUGCAAAGGUUUGAAUUAAACUUCCUCAAGGACUGGGGGAACCAUUUUUUUUUGUUGUUGUUAUUUUGUCAGAGUCUCACUCUUAUUGCCCAGGAGUGCAGUGGCACCAUCUCGGCUCACUGCAACCUCUGCCUCCCAGGCUCAAGCAAUUCUCCUGCCUCAGCCUCCCAAGUAGCUGGGAUUACAGGCGCUUGCUACUACGCCCGGCUAGUUUUUAUAUUUUUAGUAGAGACGGGGUUUCAUCAUGUUGGCCAGGCUGGUCUCAAACUCCUGGCCUUGGCUGAUCUGCCUGCCUCAGCGUCCCAAAGUGCUGGGAUUACAGGCAUGAGGCACCACGCCCAGCUGGAAGUUUUUUUGGUUGAUUCAGCCUCUGGGUCUAAGCAAAGAUAUUUGAGUUGGUUGCCAUCCCCAGAUAAGUGAGAAUAUCUGGCAGCACUCAUUUUCAGCCCUGGGCCGCAGCCGUUGCUGUGAGGCAGAAAUUAAAAAAAGAUAGUAAGUACUACAUUCAUUCACUCCAAGAAAAGUAACAGACAAGGCUAUAAGAAGGUCAUAGUGACCUAGUCUGAGAAGUAAAAGCCAAGGCCCAGAAUGUGGCAAGGCAAAGGUUAAAAAGAAAGGAAGAGCAAGUUUUUCUCUGCCUAGCAAGCUCACUUCAAAGACAAUUAUAAGAUAAUGCUCUUCGAGAAGUCGAAACCAAAGGAAUAGGCUCCAGACAUCCCCCGUCUGGAGCAAGGGUGAAGGAAAAAAAAAAAAGGACAAAUGUCUGUCUGUAUUUAGCCAGUUCUUGUUUUUUCUUUCCACGCAGCUACAAGGCCACCAGCUAUGCAAAGCCACAAGUUAUGCCAAGUCAUCAGUUAUGCUAUAGAUUAUGUGACCUGUCAUUAUAUGAUUAACUGCCUGUUUUGCUUCUGUAAGCCUGCUUAUAAAAAUCCUGCUCAGUCUUUGUUCAAUGCUCAGCUUUUUGGAUGUGAAUCCACUGAGCCAAUGCCUACCUUAAAAUAAACAUCGUCCUGUUUUUCCAUA